rnacentral:rRNA from 1 species
GAUGAACGCUAGCGGGAGGCUUAGCACAUGCAAGUCGAGGGGCAGCACGAGGUAGCAAUACUUUGGUGGCGACCGGCGCACGGGUGAGUAACGCGUAUGCAACCUACCCUGUACAGGGGGAUAACCCGGAGAAAUUCGGACUAAUACCCCAUAAAGAUAUUUAGAGGCAUCUUUGAAUAUUUAAAGUUCCGGCGGUACGGGAUGGGCAUGCGUAACAUUAGCUAGUUGGUAAGGUAACGGCUUACCAAGGCAACGAUGUUUAGGGGUCCUGAGAGGGCGAUCCCCCACACUGGUACUGAGACACGGACCAGACUCCUACGGGAGGCAGCAGUGAGGAAUAUUGGUCAAUGGGCGCAAGCCUGAACCAGCCAUCCCGCGUGAAGGAAGAAUGCGCUAUGCGUUGUAAACUUCUUUUCCAGGGGAAUAAAAUUUUGUACGUGUACGGAAUUGAAGGUACCCUGGGAAUAAGCAUCGGCUAACUCCGUGCCAGCAGCCGCCGUAAUAC